UACGUAGGGGGCUAGCGUUGUCCGGAAUCAUUGGGCGUAAAGAGCGCGUAGGCGGCUAGAUAAGUCCGGUGUGAAAGUCACAGGCUCAACCUGUGAAUGCCGCUGGAAACUGUCUGGCUAGAGUCCGGAAGGGGCGAGUGGAAUUCCUGGUGUAGCGGUGAAAUGCGCAGAUAUCAGGAGGAACACCGGUGGCGAAGGCGGAUCUCUGGGCCAUUACUGACGCUGAGGAGCGAAAGCGUGGGGAGCGAACAGG
rnacentral:rRNA from 1 species